rnacentral:lncRNA from 1 species
CGCCCACGCGCGGGAGCGGGUGCCCGGAGCCUGCCUCCUUCGCAGUUCUCGCUGGGCGCUGCUGCGGGUAGGGCGCGGGGCCGGGUACCUGGGAGGUGGUGCGCGUCGCCCGACCCGAGCUCACUGGGGCAGGCACGCGUGCCUUCCGUCAGUCCGAGUUGCAGAGGCCAGGUGCCCUCCCCCAGCCAGGCGCCUUCCCAGCUGUGGUCCUGGGGAAGGUGGGCUGCACAGGCCCUGGCGGUGCUACCACUGCGUGCCCCUGCCUCACAGCUGACACUCACUCUCUGCGGAGGAGGGUGCUAGGGCGAUCGUCGCAGCCAGCAAGGGACAGAGUAGGCAGGGCUGUGCCUGGAAUGCUCGGGGGACCCUCCCCUUUCUCCCAGCCUGAGCACCCUUCCGCCUUUGCACAACCCAGCUCCUGCCUGCCCUUGGGACUGGACUUCAAGCUGUGGGGGAAGAGGGGGACUCAGGACUCAGGAGGGAAGGGCUAACUGCCCAAUGCCCCAAACAGAACAUGAAGGAGGACGCCAGCACUCUACACUCUGAUGACUGGAGCGGGGUUCUGGAGGCUGAUGUGAAGCGGGUGCUAGGAAGGGCUGGGGUCACAGGCAUUCCUUAGAGGAAAGAAAGGGCGUGAGGCUAGAGUAGGCAUUGGAGACCUAGGGGUUAGUGAAUAAACUGUGGGGCACUUAGGUGGAAGUGCAGAUUUCUCCUUAUUCAUUUGUCAGCACUCUUUACGUAUGAAAAAUCCUGUUCUUUUGUGUAUAUUGGAAAUAUUUGUCCUGGUUUUUUGUUUUUGUUUUCAUGUAUUCUUCUCUUUUGCCUCUCUAGCUUUCCUAGUGUUUUGGCGUAUCAAUUAUCGCCACUGGGUUGGUCAAAUGACCCGUCUUUAUUGCUUGUUUAAUUACCUGUUUAAUUAUAUCUUCACCACCUGCAGUGUGAGCCUUGUGUGGGCAGGGACUGACUGUGGACAUCGGGCCCCCAAAUCCAGGCCUGACCAGCAGUGGCCCGAGCUUCCUCUCAGCCUCCACCUUCCCUGUGUUGCUGGGGCCGUAGCAUACGUGUACAUCUUAUGGUUUAAUUCAUUUUUAGUUUCCAUUUCUUUUCUAUGAAACCCCCCUUAGGAGCCCAGCUGUGAAAUGGGACCCUGUUAAAGAUGUUGCAACGGGUACGAACACACAAACAUCCUCCGCAUGCUGGCCCAGCCUCCGGGAGCGUGGUGUGUGCCUGAGGGCUCGGAGCCUUGGGGAUCGCAGGAGGCAUCGGCCCUGGCUGGCGCCCGGCACCCAAGUCCCUCCACAGAGCCCACGACCCGUACCUCUCCUCGUGACCUGGGGGCCAGCUUAGGAAGGGCCGGCACAGCCCACACUGUUCCCCUCAUCUGUGGGGAACAGGGAGCCCCACACCCUGGGACCACGCCUGCAGAGCGGGCCCUGUCUGGGUGCCAGGCCUGCUAGGGGACGGACGGCGAGAGGGACUGCCCUGCGUCAGGUGUGGCCCUGCGCUGUCCUCAGGUGGGGCUGCCCUCACAAGGAGGCUUUGUGCACAGCUUCCCCUCGCUGGGCCGAGCUGCUCUCCCCGCGAAGGGCACAAUGGGGCAUUGUGCAGAGCAGAAAAGGGCCUCUUGUUCCAGCUUCCAGCGCUCCGGGCUCCGGCUCUGCAUUUGCCCAGGGUGGGAGCAGUCAGCGGAAGGGUCUGCUGGGAGCUCCUGUUCUCUCUGAGCUCAAGUUUCCCUCAGGGUCUGCUCUCUUGAGACGCUGACCGCAGGGGUCCCAUCCACUGCCCAGAAUGGCUCCAGAGCAGGUCACCGGGGGCAGGGCUUGGGCCGGGGAGAGGUGGACCAGCAGCUCUGGUCGUGCCCAUUUCAGCCUGAAUUUAAUCAAAAGUGCACUGGGUUAUGAUUCAGCCAUCAAAAAGAAUCCAGGAGCCGGGCGCCUGUCAUCCCAGCACUUUGGGAGGCCGAGGCAGGUGGAUCACCUGAGGUCAGGAGUUCAAGACCAGCCUGGCCAACAUGGUGAAACCCCGCCUCUACUAAAAAUACAAAAAAAUUAGCCAGGUGUGGUGGCGGGCACCUGUAAUCCCAGCUACUCGGGAGACUGUGACAGGAGAAUCGCUUGAACCCGGGAGGUGGAGGUUGCAGUGAGCCUAGAUCGCGCCACUGCACUCCAGCCUGGGCCACAGAGCGAGACUCUGUCUCACUAAAAUAAAACAUAAAAUAAAAAGGAAUCCAGUUCUGACACGUGCUACAACACAGAUGAACCUCAGAACAUCAAGCUCAGUGGGACAGGACAGACGCGGAGGUCAUGAGUUGCGUGAGCCCAUUUACAUGAAAUGUCCGGGGUGGGCAAAGCCACGGGGAAAGGAGGGAGCUCUGUGGUCCAGGUCUGGGGACGGGGAGUGGGGAGCCAGUGGUCCGGGGGUAGGACGUUUUCUUUUGGGCUGAUGAGAAUCUUCUGGAACUAGGCGAUGGCUGCCCAGCACUGUGAGGUGCUAAACACCGAGUCGUUCACUGGCAAAUGGCUUAUUUCAUGCUAUGUGAAUUUCGCCUCGAAUUUUAGAAAAGUAAAAUGAGGCCGGGCACCGGGGCUCACGCCUGUAAUCCCAGCACUUUGGGAGGCCGAGGCGGGUGGAUCACGAGGUCAGGAGAUCGAGACCAUCCUGGCUAACACGGUGAAACCCCGUCUCUACUAAAAAUACAACAACAACAACAAAAUUAGCCGGGCAUGGUGGCGGGCGCCUGUAGUCCCAGCUACUCGGGAGGCUGAGGCAGGAGAAUGACGUGAACGCGGGGGCUGGAGCUUGCAGUGAGCCGAGAUCGUGCCACUGCCCUCCAGCCUGGGCGACAGAGCGAGACUCUGUCUCAAAAAAAAAAAAAAAAAGUAAAAUGAAAACAAAAGACAACAGACAGCCCUGCACUGGUGUUUCAGAAUCGCCCGGAAGGCGCUGUCACCUGUCGGAAUACAUCAUGUCAUUUACGCUCACCUUACUUCUUUGUCUAUAUUAAGGCGCAUCUAGCAGUUUAAAAAUAACAUUUAGAUACAGGUGUGUCUUAUUCUCUAAGAAGGCACUUCACUUAAAAACAGGCUUCUCUGCAAACCCAGAGUGAGCUGCAGCGGCCGGGAGAUCGGCCAGGUGUGGUCCUUUCACCCUGCAGCUCAGUGUCCUGUGACCACAGGCACGUGGGCCCUGCCCUGAGCGCCUCACACCAACCCGAGGCGGGAGGAGGAGGAGGGCGUCCUGAGAGUGCCCUGUCAAGCAAAAACUCUAAGAGAAAAAGCCAGGCUGACCCAGGAGAGGCCUGAGGGAGGGGAGUGGAGAUGAGGCUCGGCCACCCCAGGGCUGCCCGGUGCUGGGGGAGAAGACGCUGAGAAGAGGAGGAGAAUGGGGAGGAAGGGACGGACACCCCAAGAGCACGCAGGCUGAAGACUGGGCUGCCUCCCCGGAGACCGACCAGCCUGCCCUAGGAAUCAUAUUCUGCACUGGAAGAAGCCUUGAGAGUUGCCUGGCCCAGAGGUCACAAACCAGAGCCCUGCGGGCUGAGCUCUACCCACAGUGCAGUUAUCAGUCACCGUGUAGCGGUCACCGACGGCCACAUUAAUGCUGCGUAACAAACAGCCUCAGAGCCCACCGUUGUGUGUCGCCAGGCGGUGCUGUCCAUGCCCAGGCCCCAAGAAAGGCAGGGGAAAGGCUGAGCUGGGCCUGUGCCCUCUGUCCCUUCCUAUGAGCCUCUAGAGCAAAGCUUUGCUGAAGGCUGUUGUCUGAACCAAGGCCACAGAGGAAGCACGCUCCCUGCUCCCACUUUGCCCCUCGUACCCGCCUGAGGGCAUCUUAAUUAAGCCUUCCUUCCCCACGCUCAGAAAAAUAAAUACUUGGGAGACAGC